rnacentral:rRNA from 1 species
GAUGAACGCUGGCGGCGUGCCUAAUACAUGCAAGUCGAGCGAACAGAUGAGGAGCUUGCUCCUCUGACGUUAGCGGCGGACGGGUGAGUAACACGUGGAUAACCUACCUAUAAGACUGGGAUAACUUCGGGAAACCGGAGCUAAUACCGGAUAAUAUAUUGAACCGCAUGGUUCAAUAGUGAAAGACGGUUUUGCUGUCACUUAUAGAUGGAUCCGCGCCGCAUUAGCUAGUUGGUAAGGUAACGGCUUACCAAGGCAACGAUGCGUAGCCGACCUGAGAGGGUGAUCGGCCACACUGGAACUGAGACACGGUCCAGACUCCUACGGGAGGCAGCAGUAGGGAAUCUUCCGCAAUGGGCGAAAGCCUGACGGAGCAACGCCGCGUGAGUGAUGAAGGUCUUCGGAUCGUAAAACUCUGUUAUCAGGGAAGAACAAAUGUGUAAGUAACUAUGCACGUCUUGACGGUACCUAAUCAGAAAGCCACGGCUAACUACGUG